UACUCUUUACCCUAAAAGACAAAAAUGGCCUACACAAAUCUUCCAUUGUCACAGUCUGAUAGUCCCCUAUCUUCAAAUUUCAAUCGUCAAUAAAAAUUAUAAUAAUAUAAAAUUUUGGUCUCAGUUAUAAAAAUUCACUAAAAAAACUCAAAAACUGAAAUGGUUGAAUUAGUUAAAAAUAAAAUUACAUCAAUAUCCCAUCGAGAAAGCAUCAAAACACAGAGAUACUUUCAUAGUUUUCACUGAAAUGCCAAGGAAUCAAUCCAAACAUCACCUAGAAACACCGAUGGUAAAAAAGUAAGACGAAACACGACUACACUAAAUUGACACCCACUCAAUAAUCUAAAAGAUAAAAAUGACCUAGAAACACGACUACACCAAAUUGACACCCACUCGAAUACAAAUUGCUGGUUUGGUUUACUAUUUGUGAUUUGUUUGUUUUACCCUUUUCUGUUAUGUCCGGAAAGAAUUGAUAUAUAUUUUUUUCAGAUAGAUUAAAUUAACAAAAAGGCAAAUUCUCUUUACAAUUGAAAAGGCCAUAAGAGUCAAACGGUGUAAGAGAUGGCAGUUAUUGUCUCAAGUUGCGAAGGGGCAUCACUUGGCCAUGGGAAUCAACAGUGAUUGCUAUUAGUACUAAUAUUUCAUGGUUAUAAUUGAAUUAUGUACGAGUUCUAUGAAAAUGGAUCAAGUUUAGUUUGUAAUUUGUCGAAAAUGCAUGAUAACAAACAUAGUUUGAUAUGAAUAUAAAUGUAUUGCUACAUGGUCCAUGUGGUUUUAAUGUUGUAGUUAGGUUCCAUUUGGAAUCAACUUAUUUGAGUUUUUCUGUUGAUUUUUUUUUAAGACAUUUUUGCUUUUUUACUUUUACUUAUUUGUUUUUUUUAAUCUAAAAUAGAGUCAGAGAAAAUCAAAAAAAAUCAAAAAAACUUCACUUUUUUAAAAGUAAGCUUAAAAAAAGCUUGGUUUUAAUCAUUACCAAACGGAGCCCUAAUGUACAAAUGUAGUUAACAUAUAUAUUUGUCAUUUGAGAACAAAUGGAAGAAAUAAAGUAUGAAAACUUGACAUCUUGCAUACCGUUGGUUAACUUGGGUCCAUUUGAGAAUUACGCAUGUUUGUACUUAGAUACUGUUUAAAUAUGAAAUUAAUGGAUACUGGAUUGCCAUAGUCCUGAAAUUUUUAUUAUAUUUGAAAUUGCAGUAAAUUUUAUGUAUGCAAUGCAUGGAUAAGAUUAAAUUCGUAUAUUUUAUUUUUUGAAUAAUAUUUUUUUAUGGAUGAAAAUAUAUAUUUGAAAAGGUGAUCAGCACCAAUCGUUGCAUGAGAAGACUAACUGUAUUUGUCUCUUCGUCGUUAUUGGUUCUAUAUUUACAUCUCAAAAGGUGUAGAUCAAUUGGUGGCACCCUUCCAUUUAAAAUGAAUGGGUAUGGCUGUGAAAUUAAAAUCAAGGGGUGUGAACGUAAAGUGCUGCAGCGAAACGAGGCUUAUUGACAAAUCGAUCUUCAUGAAUCAGUCCAAAGAAAGAUGCAAAUGGACAAACACAAGCCGUGUAAAGUUUGCCAGCAGAACUUCUGGGUUAUUUCAGGCACGUCAGUGGUAGUGGUGUUGUGUUGGUGCCAUUUCACCCUCUUGUAAUGUUUAUAUCUAAAAAAGUUGUCAGUAUAUAUGCUCCUACUCCCCUAGGCCACAUAAUUAAAUUAAAAAAGAAAUACAAAAAUUGAAAAAAGAGAGAGAGAGUGGGUGGAGAGAGAGAGAGAGAGGGGGGGACGAGAGUGUCAGCCUGUCAGGUGGUGUCCGGGGGUAGGGGGGAUCUCCUCUGUACAUGGAGCCUUAUUGUUGUACAAAACUGUAACUCAAUCUGGGCCUGCCAUGUGUCUCAUAAGCCAGUAAAAUUUAAAUUUUUGAUCAUUUUAAAAUAAAAAAAAUAAAAAUUAAAAAAAGAUUAAAAAAAGAUAAAUAUAAAAUGAUAAUAAUACUAAUAGAUUAAGGUAGUAGUAUUAUUAGAUCAUUAGUCUGUUACACAUUUUUUUUAUUUUUUUUAAUUUUAUGUAAGUGUAGGUUUUAUCUUUUUUUUAGUUUUUAUAUUUUUUGUUUGCUUUUUUUUUUAUUACAUGCAAAAUUAAAAUACCAAAAUAUACAUAAAUUAAAUGAAUUUCAUUGAUAGAUAAUUUGAAAACAUUUAUUAAAUGGUUGAAAACAUAUUUGGAAGUAUAUUUUAGCAUUACUAUGGUAGUUCGGGCUCGGGCCCAUUCGGACUUUCUGGCUUGAUUUUAAUAAAAAAAAUUCGAGCCCGUUAAUAAGCGGGCUCAAGCUCGGGCUUGAUCCUGAGAACAUUCGGGCUCGGAUCGGGUUCGGGCUGUACAGAAUCGGAUCGGGAUCGGGUGAUCUGCAAGCGGCCCAGCCCGUUUGACAACUCUACAAAGGAGACACUCAUGUGGGCCCUUCGUGAAUUGGGUCAAAUCAUGAAACUGUGGAGUAAACCAAUUUUGUUUGGUUUGGUUUCAGCCCA
rnacentral:lncRNA from 1 species